rnacentral:rRNA from 1 species
AACGAACGCUGGCGGCAUGCCUAACACAUGCAAGUCGAACGAGACCUUCGGGUCUAGUGGCGCACGGGUGCGUAACGCGUGGGAAUCUACCCUUGGGUUCGGAAUAACAGUUAGAAAUGACUGCUAAUACCGGAUGAUGACGUAAGUCCAAAGAUUUAUCGCUCAAGGAUGAGCCCGCGUAAGAUUAGCUUGUUGGUGGGGUAAUGGCCUACCCAGGCGACGAUCUUUAGCUGGGCUGAGAGGAUGAUCAGCCACACUGAGACUGAGACACGGCCAAGAGUUGUACGGGGGGCAGUUGUGGGGAAUAUUGGACAAUGGGCGAAAGCUUGAACCAGCAAUGCAGCGUGUGUGAUGAAGGCCUGAGGGUUGUAAAGCUGUUUUACCGGGGGUGAUAAUGACAGAAGCUAUGGAAUAAGCGUUGACUAAGUCCGUGGCUGACGCCGCGGUAA